UACGUAGGGUGCGAGCGUUAAUCGGAAUUACUGGGCGUAAAGCGUGCGCAGGUGGUUUCGCAAGUCAGGCGUGAAAUCCCCGGGCUCAACCUGGGAAUUGCGCUUGAAACUACGAGACUGGAGUACGGCAGAGGGAGGUGGAAUUCCACGUGUAGCGGUGAAAUGCGUAGAGAUGUGGAGGAACACCGAUGGCGAAGGCAGCCUCCUGGGCCGAUACUGACGCUCAUGCACGAAAGCGUGGGGAGCAAACAGG
rnacentral:rRNA from 1 species